GAGGUGAAAAGAGAAAUGGCAAAAGCUAAGGAAAAGACAUAUAUUGCGCUGUACAAGAGGUUUCAAUAGUAAGGAAGGACAAAAGGACUUGUACUGAUUGGCCAGACAAAGGGACAGAGCUGGAAAGGAUGUGCAGCAGGUUAGGCUGGUAAAAGAAGCAGAUGAUAAUGUGCUGACAGGUGAGGAGAGUGCGUUGAGAAGGUGGAGGGAAUAUUUUGAGGAGCUGAUAAAUGAAAGAAUAAAAUGAGAGCAAAAU